AGUCGAGCGGUAGGCCCUUCGGGGUACACGAGCGGCGAACGGGUGAGUACACGUGGGUGAUCUGCCCUGCACUUCGGGAUAAGCCUGGGAAACUGGGUCUAAUACCGGAUAUGACCUCCGAUCGCAUGGUUGGUGGUGGAAAGAUUUAUCGGUGCAGGAUGGGCCCGCGGCCUAUCAGCUUGUUGGUGGGGUAAUGGCCUACCAAGGCGACGACGGGUAGCCGACCUGAGAGGGUGACCGGCCACACUGGGACUGAGACACGGCCCAGACUCCUACGGGAGGCAGCAGUGGGGAAUAUUGCACAAUGGGCGAAAGCCUGAUGCAGCGACGCCGCGUGAGGGACGACGGCCUUCGGGUUGUAAACCUCUUUCAGCAGGGACGAAGCGCAAGUGACGGUACCUGCAGAAGAAGCACCGGCUAACUACGUGCCAGCAGCCGCGGUAAUACGUAGGGUGCAAGCGUUGUCCGGAAUUACUGGGCGUAAAGAGUUCGUAGGCGGUUUGUCACGUCGUUUGUGAAAACUCACAGCUCAACUGUGAGCCUGCAGGCGAUACGGGCAGACUUGAGUACUGCAGGGGAGACUGGAAUUCCUGGUGUAGCGGUGAAAUGCGCAGAUAUCAGGAGGAACACCGGUGGCGAAGGCGGGUCUCUGGGCAGUAACUGACGCUGAGGAACGAAAGCGUGGGUAGCGAACAGGAUUAGAUACCCUGGUAGUCCACGCCGUAAACGGUGGGCGCUAGGUGUGGGUUCCUUCCACGGAAUCCGUGCCGUAGCUAACGCAUUAAGCGCCCCGCCUGGGG
rnacentral:rRNA from 1 species